UAUAAAGUGGCGAACGGCUGAGUAACACGUGGGCAACCUGCCCUUUGCACUGGGAUAGCCUCGGGAAACCGAGGUUAAUACCGGAUACUCCAUAUUUGUAGCAUGGCGAAUAUGGGAAAGCUCCGGCGGCAAAGGAUGGGCCCGCGGCCUGUUAGCUAGUUGGUGGGGUAGUGGCCUACCAAGGCAAUGAUGGGUAGCCGGGUUGAGAGACCGACCGGCCAGAUUGGGACUGAGACACGGCCCAGACUCCUACGGGAGGCAGCAGAC
rnacentral:rRNA from 1 species